rnacentral:rRNA from 1 species
UGGGGAAUUUUGGACAAUGGGCGCAAGCCUGAUCCAGCCAUGCCGCGUGAGUGAAGAAGGCCUUCGGGUUGUAAAGCUCUUUCAGCUGGAAAGAAAACUUCCGGAUCAAUACCCCGGGAGGAUGACGGUACCAGCAGAAGAAGCACCGGCUAACUACGUGCCAGCAGCCGCGGUAAUACGUAGGGUGCGAGCGUUAAUCGGAAUUACUGGGCGUAAAGCGUGCGCAGGCGGUGAUGUAAGACAGAUGUGAAAUCCCCGGGCUCAACCUGGGAACUGCGUUUGUGACUGCAUCACUCGAGUACGGCAGAGGGAGGUGGAAUUCCGCGUGUAGCAGUGAAAUGCGUAGAGAUGCGGAGGAACACCGAUGGCGAAGGCAGCCUCCUGGGCCAGUACUGACGCU